GUGUGAUCCUGGAGACCCGGGAUCGAGCCCCAUGUCAAGCUCCCUGCAUGGAGCCUGCUUCUCCCUCUGCUUGUGUCUCUGCCUCUCUCUCUCUCUCUCUCUCUCUCUCUCUGUGUGUGUCUCUCAUGAAUAAAUAAGUAAAAUACUUUUUAAAAAUGGGCAGUUGGAUAGAUUCCGACCUGAGGAUUUCUGGGCAGAGGUGGUAGGAUGAUGGGGUGGGGUCGGAGGAGCCACCCAGGUACUGGCAGCUGCAUUGUGAAGUGUUUACCUGGGAAGGUUAGGCUGGGGAGGAAAGCCAAUGAAGCCAGAGGAGGGCUGAAGGCUGGGAGGAAUGACUAGAACUCUAGGUGGGAUGGGGAAAAAAAAAAGGCAGUGAGGGAAACAAGAGGAGUGGAGUUGCCACUUGGCAUGAUGCCUUAUAGAAUGUCCCAGAAAGUGCAUUCUGAGUAAUGUCGGGAGUCCCACGGCAGACCCAGGCAGGAGGUCAGUAGAGGAGCCAUUUCUCUUUGCUGUACCUCCUUCCCCCAUUCACACACAUGUCCUCCAGGCACAUGUCUGGCCAGGCUUCCAGGCUUUUCUCCCUAUGGAAGACAGAGUUGGGGAUGGAGAGGGGACAUGGGACAAGCCCGAGGGGCCACAGGAGCCACUAAUAUCACCUUCUCCCAUCCCACUUCCCAUCCUCUCAGCUUUGGGAGUGUACCUAGUGAAAUGUUAGAUGGGUACACUGUUCUUUUUUCUUUCCUUUUAAACUAGAAUGUGACUAGCUAACCCCAUUGGAAAGCGAAACACCCCUGUGCAUUCCUCUGAGAUCACGGUGAUGGGAAUCAGGACGUACCUCGCAGCCACAGCUGGGAAGCCAGACUCCCCCUGGGAAAGACACAGAAAGCAGGCCCUGGAGAAGCAUCCACAGCUUCUCUGCUCAAUGGGGCCAGAUGACUUCGCAGCACCAGAGCAGUCUGCGGGGCCAGGAUGGAUUAAGGAUGGAAAAAUAUCUCCUUCUCCCCCACCUCAAGUCUGGAUCACGGGGAGGCAAGGCUGGUUUACAUCCGCACCGAGGCAUCCAAAUCAGACCUUUCCAGUUUCUCCUGCUCUGUGAUUCUGAGCGUCUGAGACUCAGUAGAACGUAUUGGGUUUUUCUUUUUCUGUGCACUUGAAAGCGCAGUGGAAGUAGCAAGUGCCAUUUGCUCUCUCAACUAGAGGCUUCUUUCCAAAAUAUGACUUUACUUCUUGGCAAGAGGUUCCAAAAACAAAGUAGUUAAAAGUGAUGGCUUCAGGAACUUUUAGGAUAGCAGAGUGUCUCCAGGCUGUAACUAUUCUAAAC
rnacentral:lncRNA from 12 species